rnacentral:rRNA from 2 species
UGGGGAAUAUUGGGCAAUGGGCGCAAGCCUGACCCAGCAACGCCGCGUGAAGGAUGAAGGCUUUCGGGUUGUAAACUUCUUUUAUCAGGGACGAAGAAAAUGACGGUACCUGAUGAAUAAGCCACGGCUAACUACGUG